UCCCACUAGAACAAGCUGAGCUUUGUGC
rnacentral:piRNA from 1 species